rnacentral:rRNA from 1 species
GGACUACUGGGGUUUCUAAUCCCAUUCGCUACCUACGCUUUCGUGUUUCAGCGUCAGGAGUGCGCCAGUGAAUUGCCUUCGCUUUUGGUGUUCCCCAUGAUAUCAACGGAUUUCACCCCUACUCCAUGAGUUCCAUUCACCUCUCGCAUCCUCUAGUCAUGCCGUUUCCUUUGCAUGCCCCCGGUUAAGCCGAAGAAUUUAACAAAAGACUAACAUGACCGCCUACACACCCUUUACGCCCAAUAAUUCCGGAUAACGCUCGGGGCACUCGUAUUACCGCGGCUGCUGGCAC